rnacentral:rRNA from 2 species
UUGGAGGGCAAGUCUGGUGCCAGCAGCCGCGGUAAUUCCAGCUCCAAUAGCGUAUAUUAAAGUUGUUGCAGUUAAAAAGCUCGUAGUUGAAUUUCGGGAUCAAUGUUUCGGUCAUGCCGUUGGUAUGUACUGAUAUUAUUGGUUUCUCACCUUCUAAAGAACCGUAAUGCCAUUAAUUUGGUGUCACGGGGAAUUAGGACUGUUACCUUGAAAAAAUUAGAGUGUUUAAAGCAGGCUCACGCUUGAAUACAUUAGCAUGGAAUAAUGAAAUAGGACAUCCGAUUCUAUUUUGUUGGUUUCUAGGAUCGAUGUAAUGAUUAAUAGGGAUAGUUGGGGGCAUUAGUAUUCAAUUGUCAGAGGUGAAAUUCUUGGAUUUAUUGAAGACUAACUACUGCGAAAGCAUUUGCCAAGGAUGUUUUCAUUAAUCAAGAACGAAAGUUAGGGGAUCGAAGACGAUCAGAUACCGUCGUAGUCUUAACCAUAAACUAUGCCGACUAGGGAUCGGAUGAUGUUAAUUUUUUAAUGACUCAUUCGGCGCCUUACGGGAAAC